GACGAACGCUGGCGGCGUGCUUAACACAUGCAAGUCGAACGGUGAAGGGGUCUGCUUUUGUGGGCCCUGGAUGAGUGGCGAACGGGUGAGUAACACGUGAGUAACCUGCCCCCUUCUUCUGGAUAACCGCAUGAAAGUGUGGCUAAUACGGGAUAUUCUGGGUCUGUCGCAUGAUGGGUCUGGGAAAGAUUGCGCCUUUGGGUGUUUUUGGUGGGGGAUGGGCUCGCGGCCUAUCAGCUUGUUGGUGGGGUGAUGGCCUACCAAGGCGGUGACGGGUAGCCGGCCUGAGAGGGUGGACGGUCACACUGGGACUGAGACACGGCCCAGACUCCUACGGGAGGCAGCAGUGGGGAAUAUUGCACAAUGGGCGCAAGCCUGAUGCAGCGACGCCGCGUGAGGGAUGGAGGCCUUCGGGUUGUAAACCUCUUUCGCCAGUGAAGCAGGCCUGCUACUUGUGGGUGGGUUGACGGUAGCUGGAGAAGAAGCGCCGGCUAACUACGUG
rnacentral:rRNA from 1 species